rnacentral:rRNA from 1 species
UGAUCCUGGCUCAGGACGAACGCUGGCGGUGCGCAUUAUGCAUGCAAGUUGAGCGAAGCUUUUCAGUAGUUUACUACAGAAAAUGACUGAGCGGCGAACGGGUGAGUAACGCGUGAGCAAUCUACCUUAGUUACUGGGAUAGCCCGAGGAAACUCGGAUUAAUACCGGAUAUUCUUAUUUUUUCACAUGAAGUUUUAAGGAAAGGUCAGCCGAACUAAGAUGAGCUCGCGUUCUAUCAGCUAGUUGGUGGGGUAAAAGCCUACCAAGGCAACGACGGAUAGCUGGUCUGAGAGGACGAUCAGCCACACUGGGACUGAGACACGGCCCAGACUCCUACGGGAGGCUGCAGCAGGGAAUAUUGUGCAAUGAGCGAAAGCUUGACACAGCGACACCGCGUGUGGGAUGACGGUUCUAGGAUUGUAAACCACUUUCAGGAGGGAAGAAAAUGACGGUACCUCCACAAGAAGACCCGGCCAACUAUGUGCCAGCAGCCGCGGUAAUACAUAGGGGUCAAGCGUUGUCCGGAUUUAUUGGGCGUAAAGAGCUCGUAGGCGGUUCAACAAGUCGGUCGUAAAAGUUUAGGGCUCAACCCUAAAAUGUCGAUCGAUACUGUUGUGACUAGGAUACGGUAGAGGUGAAUGGAAUUCCGAGUGUAGCGGUGAAAUGCGUAGAUAUUCGGAGGAACACCAAUUGCGAAGGCAGUUCACUGGACCGUGAUCGACGCUGAGGAGCGAAAGCUAGGGGAGCAAACAGGAUUAGAUACCCUGGUAGU